GCCGAAGUGGCGGAAUUGGCAGACGCGUUGGACUUAAAAUCCAAUGGUGGUAAAACACCGUGUGGGUUCGAUCCCCACCUUCGGCA
rnacentral:tRNA from 1 species